rnacentral:rRNA from 1 species
ACCUAGAAUAUAAAUUCCGCAAAUUUUGAGGGCUUAAAGUUAUUACCGAAACUUCAAACAAAAUAAUCUUAAUAGAUUUUUUGUGGUAGCAGAACAUUCCGUAGGUUGUAAAAGCUAUAGUGUAAACUAUUGUGAAGAUAUCGGAAAUGAGAAUACUUGCAUGAGUUGCACAAAACAAUGAUAAACAUUCUGGCUGUAAGUCUAAGGUUUCCGAUGUAAAGUAAAAGUUGGUCGGCAGAAGUGUGUACUUCUAGAAAAAACGGUCCCUAAGCAGGCAGGCCAAGGCUUGUGGUGAUGGGUAAGAUUAUGCUGUGAUAUGUAACUGACGAAAAAUUCACUUUAUUUUUAAUAAAUUUAAAGGUAAAUUAUUUUUUCCAAGAAAAAGGCUCUUUUUUAAA